CUCGAAACAGCUGGUCUGGGCAACAGAAGAUGCUUGUUUGAUAGCUUUAACAAGUUUCUUUUUGGUCAUAGAAAUGCUGGAUAACUGGUUUCCCCAAUUCUUUGCACAGUUUUGGACAUGUUUCCCUCAUCCAUUUGGCUAUGGUGGCAUGUCGAUCUGAUACGAAUGUUGUUAUUAUUAGGCCAGUUGUAAGGAGAAAUGACAUGGCCUUUUGGUGACCAAGAGCCUCCAUAGCUGAACUACUCCCUGCUUGGUUUGCCUUUGACAAAAAUAGAUUCCAAUAUCUUUUUUUUGAUAAUUACGCCAAUAUAAAACAAUGGAAGGAAACAGAAAGUGUCUCUGGUGAUAAUAAUAUGCGACUUCACUGUAGCUGAUCAACCCCAUGUUCUUGAACACUUGAAGUACCUGUACAAUGCCAUUGGUUUAUGGAGUACUGAAUAUCUGUGAUUGAGAUGAUACAUUGCUACAUACUUCCUCACCUUUUUUACUGAAGCACCUGCACACAAAAUAGCAAAACUAAGCAAAAUAUUGCCAGCUGGAAACUUUCCAAAAAGAUAUGGUUGACUUUUCCAGGUGCAUCGGGCGUGAUCUGUUGGUCCUGUAAGAAUAUUGAGGAAUAGUUGUUUUACGAAGUGCACGUAUGUGUGAAGAGCAAUUGUUGGCUUUACGUAUGCAUCAUUCUCAGAUUGGUCUGGAAUUUCAGUUGUGCCUUUUUCUUCUUGAAAAUAGCACGAAUCUUCUUUCUUCAUGCAUGAUACAGACACUUCAUUUUGUAUUUCCUUUAAAACCUUAGUAUAAAUGUAUAUUAUAUAUUGAAAGUUUGC